rnacentral:rRNA from 1 species
GAUGAACGCUGGCGGCGUGCCUAAUACAUGCAAGUCGAGCGAAUGGAUUAAGAGCUUGCUCUUAUGAAGUUAGCGGCGGACGGGUGAGUAACACGUGGGUAACCUGCCCAUAAGACUGGGAUAACUCCGGGAAACCGGGGCUAAUACCGGAUAACAUUUUGAACCGCAUGGUUCGAAAUUGAAAGCGGCUUCGGCUGUCACUUAUGGAUGGACCCGCGUCGCAUUAGCUAGUUGGUGAGGUAACGGCUCACCAAGGCAACGAUGCGUAGCCGACCUGAGAGGGUUAUCGGCCACACUGGGACUGGGACACGGCCCAGACUCCUACGGGAGGCAGCAGUAGGGAAUCUUCCGCAAUGGACGAAAGUCUGACGGAGCAACGCCGCGUGAGUGAUGAAGGCUUUCGGGUCGUAAAACUCUGUUGUUAGGGAAGAACAAGUGCUAGUUGAAUAAGCUGGCACCUUGACGGUACCUAACCAGAAAGCCACGGCUAACUACGUGCCAGCAGCCGCGGUAA